rnacentral:rRNA from 1 species
AACGUACGCUGGCGGCACGCCUAACACAUGCAAGUCGAACGAAGUAGCAAUACUUAGUGGCAGACGGGUGAGUAACAUGUAGGUAUCUGCCCUUUGGCCUGGAAUAACACGAGGAAACUUGUGCUAAUACCGGAUAAGUCUUUACGGAGAAAGCUUUAUGCACCAUUGGAUGAGCCUGCACUUGAUUAGUUUGUUGGUGGGGUAAUGGCCUACCAAGACUGUGAUCAAUAGCUGAUUUGAGAGGAUGAUCAGCCACAUUGGGACUGAGACACGGCCCAAACUCCUACGGGAGGCAGCAGUGGGGAAUCUUGCACAAUGGAGGAAACUCUGAUGCAGCGAUGCCGCGUGAGUGAGGAAGGCCCUUGGGUUGUAAAGCUCUUUCGUCGGGGAAGAAAAUGACUGUACCCGAAUAAGAAGGUCCGGCUAACUUCGUGCCAGCAGCCGCGGUAAUACGAAGGGACCUAGCGUAGUUCGGAAUUACUGGGCUUAAAGAGUUCGUAGGUGGUUGAAAAAGUUAGUGGUGAAAUCCCAGAGCUUAACUCUGGAACUGCCAUUAAAACUUUUCAGCUAGAGUAUGAUAGAGGAAAGCAGAAUUUCUAGUGUAGAGGUGAAAUUCGUAGAUAUUAGAAAGAAUACCAAUUGCGAAGGCAGCUUUCUGGAUCAUUACUGACACUGAGGAACGAAAGCAUGGGUAGCGAAGAGGAUUAGAUACCCUCGUAGUCCAUGCCGUAAACGAUGUGUGUUAGACGUUGGAAAUUUAUUUUCAGUGUCGCAGGGAAACCGAUAAACACACCGCCUGGGGAGUACGACCGCAAGGUUAAAACUCAAAUGAAUUGACGGGGACCCGCACAAGUAGUGGAGCAUGUGGUUUAAUUCGAAGAUACGCGCAGAACCUUACCAACACUUGACAUGUUCGUCGCGACUCUAAGAGAUUAGAGUUUUCGGUUCGGCCGGACGAAACACAGGUGCUGCAUGGCUGUCGUCAGCUCGUGUCGUGAGAUGUUGGGUUAAGUCCCGCAACGAGCGCAACCCUCACUUUUAGUUGCCAUCAUUAAGUUGGGCACUCUGAAAGAACUGCCAGUGAUAAGCUGGAGGAAGGUGGGGAUGACGUCAAGUCCUCAUGGCCCUUACGUGUUGGGCUACACACGUGCUACAAUGGUAUCUACAACAGGAAGCAAGACUGCGAAGUUAAGCAAAUCCCUAAAAGAUACCUCAGUUCGGAUUGCACUCUGCAACUCGAGUGCAUGAAGCUGGAAUUACUAGUAAUCGUGGAUCAGCGUGCCACGGUGAAUGCGUUCCCGGGUCU